UCAAUGCAGCAAAAAACAAGAAUGGAGU
rnacentral:piRNA from 1 species